ACUCGAGUGGCGAACGGGUGAGUAACACGUGGGUGAUCUGCCCUGCACUUCGGGAUAAGCCUGGGAAACUGGGUCUAAUACCGGAUAGGACGAUUGGUUUGGAUGCCAUUGUGGAAAGUUUUUCGGUGUGGGAUGAGCUCGCGGCCUAUCAGCUUGUUGGUGGGGUAAUGGCCUACCAAGGCGUCGACGGGUAGCCGGCCUGAGAGGGUGUACGGCCACAUUGGGACUGAGAUACGGCCCAG
rnacentral:rRNA from 1 species